AUGAAGUAUUGGAAAUCGUACUAUGAGGCCCUGCCUCUCACAUGCGAACAGAACAGAAAACCAGGGAUGAACAUGAUGAAGUGACUUCUAAGAAGUAAGAGCUUGGGGAUUUAUAUAAAAAAAGUAAAGGACUUAACUCAGUCACUCAUUUCCUCCUGUAAGAUCACAAUACAACCGAGCUCCAAUGAUGUAGUUGAAUUGGUGAAUGAU